rnacentral:rRNA from 1 species
ACUGCUCAGUAACACGUGGCUAAUCUGCCCUUGGGACCGGAACACCCCCGGGAAACUGGGGCUAAUUCUCGAUAGGUGAAGAACUCUGGAAUGAGCCUUCGCCAAAAAGUUGCCAAAGCUACGCUCUUUGACAACGCCCAAGGAUGAGGCCGCGACCGAUCAGGUUGUUGGCGAGGUAAUGGCUCACCAAGCCUUUUACCGGUGCGGGCCGUGGGAGCGGGAGCCCGGAGAUGGGCACUGAGACAAGGGCCCAGGCCCUACGGGGCGCAGCAGUCGCGAAAACUUUGCAAUACACGAAAGUGUGACAGGGCUAUCCCGAGUGCCAUCCGCUGAGGAAGGCUUUUACCCAGUCUAGAACGCUGGGGGAAUAAGGAGAGGGCAAGUCUGGUGUCAGCCGCCGCGGUAAUACCAGCUCUCCGAGUGGUGUGGAUGUUUAUUGGGCCUAAAGCAUCCGUAGCUGGCUAAGUUAGUCCCUUGUUAAAUCCACCGAAUUAAUCGUUGGAUUGCGGGGGAUACUGCUUGGCUAGGGGACGAGAGAGGCAGACGGUAUUUCCGGGGUAGGGGUGAAAUCCUAUAAUCCCGGGAAGACCACCAAUGGCGAAGGCUGUCUGCUAGAACGCGCCCGACGGUGAGGGAUGAAAGCUGGGGGAGCGAACCGGAUUAGAUACCCGGGUAGUCCCAGCUGUAAACGAUGCAGGCUAGGUGUUUGGACGGCCACGUGCCGUUCUAGUGCCGCAGGGAAGCUGUUAAGCCUGCCGCCUGGGGAGUACGAUCGCAAGAUUGAAACUUAAAGGAAUUGGCGGGGGAGCAC